GGCAAGUCAGGGGGGAAAUCCCGGAGCUCAACCCCGGAACUGCCCUUGAAACUGCUAAGCGAGAAUCCUGGAGAGGCGAGUGGAAUUCCGAGUGUAGAGGUGAAAUUCGUAGAUAUUCGGAAGAACACCAGUGGCGAAGGCGACUCGCUGGACAGGUAUUGACGCUGAGGUGCGAAAGCGUGGGGAGCAAACAG
rnacentral:rRNA from 1 species